GAUCUCUUCUCGAAUGUGUAUACAUCGUGGAUAAAAGUGCAGAACGUCAAACGUCAUCUGAAAUUUGCAAUAUGUCAAUGUGAUAAUACGUAUUAUAAAUAUGGCGUGAGUGGGGUAUAUUUAUUGAAAUGAACUUUGAACGCAAAUGAUAUAAAAUUUUGCCUUAUCAUUAUCGCUGUUCUCUGAGCACAGUCAUUUAAAAGCACCAAGCUUGAGCUGAAAAUUUAAGCUUUUUUAUCGAUUGCCAGCAAGCUUUACAGUGAAUAUUUUUCAUUCAAACGACAAGAAUGCCGGAAGAACUACGGUACGACGGCCGAGUGGUUGUGGUAACUGGAGCAGGCGCAGGAUUGGGACGAGCUUAUGCAUUAUUGUUUGCAUCCAGAGGCGCCAGUGUAGUUGUGAAUGAUUUAGGAAGCAGCAGACAUGGAGACGGAAAUAGCACCAUGAGUGCGGAUGCUGUAGUCCAGGAGAUUCGACAAAAUGGAGGGAAAGCUGUCGCGAAUUACGAUUCUGUGGUGAAUGGUGCGAAAAUCAUUAAGACGGCAAUCGAGGCAUUCGGCCGUAUUGAUGUAGUUGUUAAUAACGCCGGUAUUCUGAGGGAUGCAUCAUUCAUGAAGAUGACGGAUGCACAAUGGGAUACGAUACACGAUGUUCAUCUUAAAGGUUCUAUGAAAACAACGCAAGCAGCGUGGCCAUAUUUUAUUAAGCAGAAGUAUGGCCGUGUAAUUUUUACAUCGAGCAACAGCGGUCUGUACGGGAACUUUGGACAAUCCAAUUACAGCUCGGCGAAAUUGGGUCUCGUAGGAUUAGCCAAUACAUUGGCCAUCGAAGGUGCAAAAAAGAAUAUUUACAGCAAUGUAAUAGUGCCCACAGCUGGCUCACGUUUAACGGAAGAUAUCCUUCCUCCAGAUUUUCAUGAUCAAUUAAAGCCUGAAUUGAUAGCACCUGUUGUUUUUUGGUUGUGCCACGAGAAUUGUACAGAAAAUGGUUCGAUUAUUGAAGCAGCAUUAGGUUGGGCUAGCAAAUGUCAUUUAGUCCGUUCUUCGGGUUGCGUUUUACGGCAAAAUUUAUCGGCUAAUGUUACACCAGAAAAUGUACAAAAAAAUUGGUCGAAAGUGAUCGACAUGACAUCGGCAAAGCGACUCGAUUCGAUCCAGGAAGCAACAGGAGAAUUAUUAGGCCUUAUCGAGAACUUGAAAAAUGAAGCUUCUACUUCAAAUAAAGUAGACCAUGUUUUGACGAAUGAUUACAACUUCCGCGAUAUUAUACUAUAUGCGCUCGGAGUUGGAGCUACAGUUCAGGAACCAAGUGAUAUUCGUUAUUUAUAUGAGAAUGCUGACGAGUUCGCUGUUUUGCCUACUUUUUAUGUUGUGUAUGGACCUUUAGGAUGCAUGUCCACUUCUAUCCUGCAGGACGCUCUGCCAAACAUACAAAUUGAUCCAUCACGGAUACUUCAUGGUGAACAAUAUCUAGAAGUUUGUAAACGGUUGCCUAUAGAAGCUACGGUAGAAACGUGCUUCAAGGUUCAGGAUGUCUUGGACAAAGGAAAAGGCGUCGUUGUUUUAGUUCAACAUGAUACCUAUAAUGUAGCGAAUGGAGAGAAGUUGUCGACUGGGCAGAUAUCGAUAUUCAUUGUCGGUGUAGGUGGUUUUCAAGGAAAACGGACAUCGACCUGUACCAUUCCGACCGUUGAUCCUCCUGCUCGGAAACCGGAUAUAACAAUUACACAGCAAACUAACAUUGACCAGGCUGCUUUGUACAGAUUGAGCGGAGAUCUCAAUCCUCUGCAUAUCGACGCUAAUGUGUCCGCGAUGGCAGGUUUUGAAAGACCGAUAUUGCAUGGAUUGUCUUCGCUAGGAUUCUCAACCCGUCAUGUUCUUCAAGCUUAUGCUGCCGGGGAUCCAUCUUUAUUUAAAUCCAUUAAGGCGAGAUUUGCAAAGCCAGUUAUGCCAGGUCAGACUCUACGCACUGAUAUGUGGCGUAAUGGUAACAGGAUACAUUUUCAAACAUCUCUCGUGGAGACUGGCGUACCGGUUGUAACAGGCGCUUACAUUGAUCUAUUGGACGUUAAAACGAAAGUGCCCCGAGCAAAUCCAUGUUCUGGGAAGGAAAAUAUGCAAAGUGACACUAUAUUUGCAGCUAUUGGCGAACAGGUGAAAUUAAAUCCAGAUCAAGCUAAAAAAGUUAACGCGGUCUUCCUGUAUAAUAUUACAGUCGGUGGGAAACCAAUAUCGGAAUGGACUCUCGAUUUAAAGAAUGGAGAAGUGCAUAAAGGAAAACCUAAAUCUGGAAAAGCAGACGCAACACUCACUGUAGAAGAUGCAGAUAUGGUUGAAAUUGCAUUAGGUAAAUUAAAUCCGCAAAUAGCAUUUAUGCGUGGAAAAUUAAAAAUAACUGGAAACAUUAUGCUUACACAAAAAUUGAAGACUCUUAUGGAAAUCAACAAAGCAAAGCUGUAAUCUUUCAUAUUAUCGCUGUAGUUUUAAACAAAAACAUGUAAAAUGUGGUUGGAGAUACUUUUUAUGGGUCUCGAAAACUGACAAUAUCCAAAUUUUCUUGAUUCCUGAGAUCUGCCUUGGUACCUAAUAAUAAGAAAAUAAUGGUGUUCAUAUGUCUAUUAAUGAACUUUCAACAUAGACGAAUUUGUACAUCGUAUAAGAUGAUAUGCGCGCGAAGGAAAUAUAAUAAGUAUUUGUAUUUAUUAUCUUCUUAUAUAUCUUGUUUUAAAUUAAAGAUUUGGAUAUAUAUAUAGAAAA